GACAUGCUGGCCUCGCGCACAACGCCAUCGUCAUGCGCACCUCCUGCAGGUAGCUGCUCCGACAGAAGGUCCAUGAUGCUGCGGCCAGGGAGAACAUGCUCCUCAGAGAGGAGAAGGUCCCUCACGAAGUUCCACCACUGUCAGAACAACCACCUUGAGGCCUUGUGCUGCCGAAGAAGCCAGCGGGUACCAUCCUCCAGUUCUCUCACGCCGUCGAGCAUGAGUGCUAGGUUAAGCAAGGUGCAUGCAUCUUUUUGCAGCUCAAGGUUUUACUACGUUGCGGCAUUUACUUCUUAAAUCCAGGAAACACCAUUACUCUUUACUCUGGCAGUGAUUAAUCUAAGUGAUAUUACUUUUCCUGUUUCAACCUCAGCUCCAUCCAGCAUCUGACAUCAAGAGGUGUCUUUUGAAAGCCAUUACCCCUAUAGGUUAUCAUCUGAAGCUGGCUGGGAACAUCCAGUUUGAGCCGAUACAGGAUUUUGGAAAAAUACAUUGAGUCUACGUGGUGGUGGAGGUGAAGGCGGUGGUUCUGGUUGACUUUGCCUGCCCGUCGCCGCCUGGUCUGAGUGGCACUACUACUGUGCUAUGCAAGCAUCUCAGGUCGUGGCUCUUUAUUCUACAAGUUGGAUCGUGGGAGUUAAGAAGACAUGAAGGUGAAUUGUGAAGGUCAAGUCAUCUGAGAAAUCAACAAUCCCUAAGAACCCCUAAGAACCUGAUUGUAGCUUUCAAGUUGAACCUCAAGGAGGAAAGAAGACACAUGUGCUAGGGACACCUGCCUUGGGUAGGAAAUUCACUCGAUGUGUCAAAUGGUAGCAUCACCUGCCUUGGGCAGAAAAUUUAGUGAUAUCAUCUAUGUGUUCUCUAAUAUUUUGUUAAAAAAAUUCUUAAAGAGUUACAUGAUUACAUUGAUGUGUUCAUUGAUGCUCUGAACAUGUAUUAUACCUUCACUAUCAGUUAUUUACCAGUUUG